rnacentral:rRNA from 1 species
UCAACGGAGAGUUUGAUCCUGGCUCAGGACGAACGCUGGCGGCGUGCUUAACACAUGCAAGUCGAACGAUGAAGCCCAGCUUGCUGGGUGGAUUAGUGGCGAACGGGUGAGUAACACGUGGGUGAUCUGCCCUGCACUCUGGGAUAAGCCUGGGAAACUGGGUCUAAUACCGGAUAUGACCUCUUGCUGCAUGGCGAGGGGUGGAAAGUUUUUCGGUGCAGGAUGAGCCCGCGGCCUAUCAGCUUGUUGGUGGGGUAAUGGCCUACCAAGGCGACGACGGGUAGCCGGCCUGAGAGGGCGACCGGCCACACUGGGACUGAGACACGGCCC